AUGCAGCCCUAGACAGAGCUGUUAAUGUGCAGGAAACACAAGACAGAAACACAUUAGACACCACCACAGAGAAGCAAGCAGCCAAAGCCAGAUAGUAGGAAUGUCUACAAGACAGUUUGAUUUCAACAAAUAAACUGCAAGAGGAGUAAGGAGAUGGAGGGGAAACCUCUACACAAAAAAAGAUUCAAGAUGUAUAUAAUCCAAUCACAUCUAUGACUCUUGUUUGGAUCCUGACUCAAAAGAACUAAAACAAAUGUAUGGCACUUACGACACAAAUGGAAAUUUGAACACUGGCUGGAUAUUUUGUAAUAAAAAUAGAUACUGCAUCCCAACUACAGUGGGCACUACACUACACGAAGAACAUAGAAAUGGUUCAUGCCCCUGUGGAGCUUUAAUUCAAAUGAGGGAGAAAGACAAUCUGCUUUAUCCACUUUAAAGAAGAAGAUAUUCAAGUUCACUGCCUAAAAGAGUUCUGUGACAAAACAGAUCAAUUCAAGCAAUAUAUUUAGCCAAAUAGCUUUUUAUACUGGUCCAAUUCCACUGUUAAAAAGCAAAUACCCUUGCUCAAAUAAAUUGGUGUGACCUCCAAAAAGUAAAAUGCUGACUCUAGUAUUUUAU